rnacentral:rRNA from 1 species
CAAGUCGUGGGGCAGCAUGGUGUAGCAAUACACUGAUGGCGACCGGCAAACGGGUGCGGAACACGUACGCAACCUUCCUUUAAGUGGAGAAUAGCCCGGCGAAAGCCGGAUUAAUACUCCGUAACAUUAUGAAGUGGCAUCACUUUAUAAUUAUAGCUCCGGCGCUUAAAGAUGGGCGUGCGUCUGAUUAGGUAGUUGGCGGGGUAACGGCCCACCAAGCCUACGAUCAGUAACUGGUGUGAGAGCACGACCAGUCACACGGGCACUGAGACACGGGCCCGACUCCUACGGGAGGCAGCAGUAAGGAAUAUUGGUCAAUGGACGCAAGUCUGAACCAGCCAUGCCGCGUGAAGGAUGAAGGUCCUCUGGAUUGUAAACUUCUUUUAUUUGGGAAGAAACCCAAGAUUUCUAUUUUGGUUGACGGUACCAGAUGAAUAAGCACCGGCUAACUCCGUGCCAGCAGCCGCGGUAAUACGGAGGGUGCAAGCGUUAUCCGGAUUCACUGGGUUUAAAGGGUGCGUAGGCGGGCAGGUAAGUCCGUGGUGAAAUCUCCAAGCUUAACUUGGAAACUGCCGUGGAUACUAUUUGUCUUGAAUAUAGUGGAGGUGAGCGGAAUAUGUCAUGUAGCGGUGAAAUGCUUAGAUAUGACAUAGAACACCCAUUGCGAAGGCAGCUCGCUACACUAUUAUUGACGCUGAGGCACGAAAGCGUGGGGAUCAAACAGGAUUAGAUACCCUGGUAGUCCACGCCCUAAACGAUGAUUACUCGACAUCAGCGAUACACUGUUGGUGUCUGAGCGAAAGCAUUAAGUAAUCCACCUGGGAAGUACGACCGCA